UUUCCCGAUUUGAUGGCUCAGUGAGGCGUCCGGACUGGCCCAGAGAGGUGGGCAACUACCACUCAGGGCCGGAAAGCUCUCCAAACUCGGUCAUUUAGAGGAAGUAAAAGUCGUAACAAGGUCUCCGUUGGUGAACCAGCGGAGGGAUCAUUA
rnacentral:rRNA from 1 species